rnacentral:piRNA from 1 species
UGGUAUGAUUAUCUCACGCAUUGCAAACA